GAACUCACUCGAGGCACUGAAGAAGAGCCUUCUGGGGCUCCUCUGCUCCCCCAUCCUAGUUCUGGAAGGAGUGCAGACCGAACCCAGGAGCCCGGGUAUCCGCGUCCUGAGUCCUAGCGCCCACCAGGACUGGAGCCUCCUCGCAUCUACUCUGAGGACAAAAUCCACUGGCAGAAUCUUCGUUUUUGUUUGGGAUGCUGGGUUUGAGAACACGCCAUGAACCAAGAGUCGUAAAUAAUCCAAUUUUGAGCACUUGAGAACCAAGUGGAAAGAAACUCAAGCCGAUUCAAAGUGACCAAUAUCUGGUUAUGCCCUUGAGCCCCUGCAGAAGCAAAGAAUAAUUUGUGUGUGCGUGUGGACAAAUACAUUUGUAUUCCAGAUCUCACAGAAAUUCCUACACCAAGAAAUUUACAAGGAAAAUGAACACUGCGCCCUAAAAAUUAACAAGGAAACAAGGUACCAGGAGCAACAACUCAUUAACAGGAACAGAAACUAAAUUGCAAACAUUUCAGAUGCAAAGUGUAUCAGACUCAUAAUACAACUAUUCCUACAGUGUCUAAAAAUAUGAAAGGCAAUAAAGAAAAUAUCUUUGACAACAGGACCUCCAGCCUUCUAGACUGAAAAAAGAACCAAAUAGUUCUAGAUAUAAAAGCACACAGUAAUGGAAACGGAACAACUAAAUGCACAUCACGGUAGGUUACAGUGCGGAGCAGUAUUGCGAGGGCUUCUGUGAGUCCCAGUGAGCUCUGGGCAUUCUGUCUGCAACUGCAAGGAUGGCCGAAACACAGCAGAACUCUCCUGUGCCUGUAACUCGAGUGGCCUCAAAAAAAAAAAAAAAAGGGUUGUCAUUGACUCUUUAAGUGCGUGCAGUCGCAGUCUGGGGACAUUUUUUCUCUUUCUGAAAGAAGGCCAUUUCAGCGGAGGGCACAGAUUGGGAGAACACAGAUUCAUGCCAGCGUGGUGCGGAAGGAGACUCUGGCGGGUCACCCCCAUUUAUGGGAGAACGCAGGGUGGUGAAGGAAGUCCUGCACUAGCGGGGACGUCGGUGGGGACUGAGGCUGCUGUGGGGGACCCCAAGUGCGCUCUGGUUUCUGGGGCUGAUUCAUUACCUCACUUUGUUUUCACCACCCUUAGGCCACCCAGUCCAUUUGUAGGUAUAGAAAGAAGCCUAUAAGGAAGCCCGGCUAGCUCAGUCGGUAGAGCAUGAGACUCUUAAUCUCAGGGUCGUGGGUUCGAGCCCCACGUUGGGCGUAUGUUUUGAUUCUGGCUGUCUCUCCCAGAAUCUACCCUCUAUCUGUGGAGGUAGAGGCCCCUGACAGAUGCAGACUUGCUGAUACCUUUUAGAUGUACCCCAAGGGUACGUCUUUUCCUCCCAGCUCUCU
rnacentral:tRNA from 1 species